rnacentral:rRNA from 1 species
GUCGAACGAGAGACCUUCGGGUCUCUAGUGGCGAACGGGUGAGUAACACGUACGGAACCUGCCCGCGCACCGGGAAUACGCUCUGGAAACGGAGAACAAAUCCCGAUGUACAGGAAGGAGGCAUCUUCUUUCUGUGAAACAUCCUUUCGGGGAUGGGGCGCGGAUGGACCUGCGGUGCAUUAGUUUGUUGGCGGGGUAAAGGCCCACCAAGACGAUGAUGCAUAGCCGGCCUGAGAGGGCGGACGGCCACAUUGGGACUGAGACACGGCCCAGACUCCUGCGGGAGGCAGCAGUAGGGAAUUUUCGUCAAUGGGCGCAAGCCUGAACGAGCGAUGCCGCGUGAGUGAAGAAGGCCUUCGGGUCGUAAAGCUCUGUUGCGGGGGAAAAAAGGCAGCAUCAGGAAAUGGGUGCUGACUGAUGGUGCCCCGCCAGAAAGUCACGGCUAACUACGUGCCAGCAGCCGCGGUAAUACGUAGGUGGCGAGCGUUAUCCGGAAUGAUUGGGCGUAAAGGGUGCGCAGGCGGUCCUGCAAGUCUGGAGUGAAACGCAUGAGCUCAACUCAUGCAUGGCUUUGGAAACUGGAGGACUGGAGAGCAGGAGAGGGCGGUGGAACUCCAUGUGUAGCGGUAAAAUGCGUAGAUAUAUGGAAGAACACCAGUGGCGAAGGCGGCCGCCUGGCCUGUUGCUGACGCUGAGGCACGAAAGCGUGGGGAGCAAAUAGGAUUAGAUACCCUAGUA